UGGGUUAAAAUUAAUAAAUAAAAUUAUAAUAAAAGAAAUUUUAAUAUUAAAAAUAUAUGGGGGUUAAAGUAUUUUUAAUAGAAAAAAUUUAAAAAUUUAUAGUUUAUUAGUAUUGUAAAAGAAAUUUGAAAUAAUAUUGAAAAUAAAAUUAUUAGAAAGUAAAUUUAAAUUAUUGUAUCUUGUGUAUCAGAGUUUAUUAAAAAUAAUUUAUUUUUUAAAAUUCUCGAAUUUAAAAGAGUUAAUUAAUUAAAAAAUUUAUUGUUAUAUAAAUAUUUUAAAUAAUUAAUUGGAAAUGAAAUGUUAAUCGUUUUUAAAUAUAUCUAGUUUUUUUAGAAAAAAAUUUAAUUUUUAAUUAAUUAUAUAAAAAUUAUUUAUUAAUUAAAUAAUUUUUUUGAUUAAUUUAAUAAUUUAAGGGAUAAGCUUUAAAUUAAAUUUUUAUAAUGAAAAUUUAAAAUAUUAAAAAUUAUAUAAUUUAUAUUGUUAAUUAAUUUUAUUUUAUUAUAAAUAAUUUUAAUAAAUUUAAAAUUUAAUUAAAAUUUAAUUUUUUAUAAAAAAAAAUUUUUGAAUAAUAAAAAUUUAGUUAUAAUGAUAAAAUUAGUAAAUAAAUUAAUAAUUAAAAUAAAAAUUAAAUUUAUGAAAAAUUAUUUUAAAGGAACUCGACAAAUUAAUAUAUACAUAAAUAAAAUAUGUAUAUUAGUAUGUUCACCUGUUUAUCAAAAACAUGUCUUUUUGAAUAUAAUAUAAAGUCUAAUCUGCCCACUGAUUUAUUAAUUAAAGGGCUGCAGUAUAUUGACUGUACAAAGGUAGCAUAAUCAUUAGUCUCUUAAUUGGUGACUUGUAUGAAAGAUUGGAUGAAAUAUAAAUUGUCUCUAUAAUAUUUAAUUGAAUUUAAUUUUUAAAUUAAAAAGUUUAAAUAUUUUAAAAAGACGAGAAGACCCUAUAGAGUUUUAUAAUUAUUUUUUUUUUUAUUAUGAAUUUAUUUAUAAAUUAAAAUAAGAAUAAUUAUUUUAUUGGGGUGAUAAAAAAAUUUAUUUAACUUUUUUUAAAUUUUAACAAAUAUAAGUGAAUUAUUGAUCCAAUAUUAUUGAUUAUAAGAAAAAAUUACCUUAGGGAUAACAGCGUAAUUUUUUUUUUUAGUACAAAUAAGAAAAAAAGUUUGCGACCUCGAUGUUGGAUUAAGAUAAAAUUUAAAUGCAAAAGUUUAAAAUUUUGAUCUGUUCGAUCAUUAAAAUCUUACAUGAUCUGAGUUCAAACCGGUGUGAGCCAGGUUGGUUUCUAUCUUUUAAAAAUUUUAAUAUUUUAGUACGAAAGGAUCAAAUAUUAUAAUUAAAUUAAUUUAUUUGAAUAUUAUUAAAAUAUAAUAAAUUUAUAA
rnacentral:rRNA from 1 species